rnacentral:lncRNA from 1 species
CCGGGUUACCUCAGGAAACGCGAUGUGGUAGUGGGUCGGAAUAAACCCGCGCGCCCCAGAAUUCGCCUUGGGGGCGUAAGGACAGAUUCGGACUUCUCGUUUCCUAUGUCCACAUUUAUUGAGCACCUAAUAGGUGAGACCCGAGGCUGUAAGAAGAGGAACGCAGCGGGCGGAGAAAAGCCAGAGCUUUUUCUCUGUGAGCCGCUGCCUCCAGGGCCAUAGCCGACCCUGCUCCGAGAUCCCAGCCGCCGCUCUCCGUGCAGGAGGGGUGCCCACCCUGGGGAGGCCAGGGUGCGCGGAGUGGAGGGACAGGGCUUCAAGCGACCGGGAGUUACCAGCAAACCCCUGAUCCCUGAGCAGUUUAUUUUAAAAGCUUUUGCAAAUGUUGGACGGUUUCGUUUGGUGGAGGCCGUCUUUGCACUAAAUUCUCCUGUCCUCCCCCUUCGAAACGCACAAAAUGAAUUUUGAACAGAUUUUGGAUGAGAGGUUUUCUUCCUUUUUUCAUCUUCUGAAACAUUUCCCCCUCAUUUCUUCUCAGAUAAAGACCCAGAAACCCGGGACAGUUACUCGGUGUACAGCUAGUCAAAUACUGAGGAAACCAGUCGAUAUUUGCCAAAGAUUGGGCAUGUUCUGGGUGGUCUCAGAUUUUGAAGAAACGACUUUUUUACUGCACAAAAUAGUUUUACAAUCAGUUCCAUCAGACAGCCCCAGGGGCUCUCCUAGGGAAAGGGGCCAAUAGGCAAGGUUGCAUGGGGAUAAGAGAGGCAAGCGGCCAGUGGAAAACGUUUUUUGUUUUUUUUUUCCUAACAGUUGGGCAUUUCUGUAGCUCUGAAAGCAAACUUGUUUGUUUCAUUUCAACGAUAGAAAAAAAACCACUCCUGUUUUGGAAAUGUAACCCAGCAUAAAAAUACAUUUGCAAUGGGGAAAAAGAAAGCAGUUUAGGGCCACCCAGAAGAAAAUAUUUUUUCCCUGAUUUUUUUUUUAAUUUGGUAUUUCCCAGUGUGGGUUUGCCUCAUUUUACAAAUAGCUGCCCAUGUCAAGAUGUGGGUAUGUGAUUUAAAUAUUUUAAUUUGAAUCACAUUUUACAUAGUCUAGGAAACUGACAAAAGAAUCCUAUAGAGAAUUGUUUUAUAAAGUGAAUAACUGCUUCUCUACCUACCUGCCCCUCUCAUUCUUCUUUUCUGUGCGUGUUUUUGGGGGGCUGUUAUGGGAUAAAUCUUGUUUGGCUUAAAAAUCACUAAAACGCAGCCUUUCAAAUCCAAAACAGAGAGCUUAGGUACCCAACAUUCUAUAGAAUGUAUUAUUUCCUCAAGAGGUUGCUAGGAACAGUUAUGUAGAUCUACCAGGUGCAGGGAAGCACUCCACACUCUCACCCAGGUCCUGUAUCCCUGCAAGACUGCGUUGGAAAGACUGAAGAGGCAUUGCUGUGCUGGGAAGGAAUGCUUAAACCUGCCACAGCCAUGUUGUGAUUAUGAAGGGAGCCAACCUGAGGACAAAUCACAUUUUCUGAGGAUGGCAGAGCAAACAGAUGCAAAGAUCCUGGGUCUCUGAUGGCAUUGUUGAGUUGCUGGACAGCUUCCCUACUUUUCACGUUCCUAUGACACAAUGUUAUCAUCAUCCUUGUUGUAUCAGCCAGGGAAGCUAAAGAAUGAUGCGCUCCACCACAAUGAGGGACUAAACAACAAAAAGGAGGCAUGAGAUUCAGGAAGCAAAAAAGGUGUGUAGAGAAUUCUCAGGAUGAUGCUGAAGGAAAAC